AUUGAACGCUGGCGGCAUGCUUUACACAUGCAAGUCAAACGGUAACAGGUUAAGCUGUCGAGUGGCGAGCGGGUGAGUAAUGCAUCGGAACGUGCCCGGUCGUGGGGGAUAACGCAGCGAAAGCUGCGCUAAUACCGCAUACGAUCUGAGGAUGAAAGCGGGGGACCGUAAGGCCUCGCGCGAUCGGAGCGGCCGAUGUCAGAUUAGGUAGUUGGUGGGGUAAAGGCUCACCAAGCCGACGAUCUGUAGCUGGUCUGAGAGGACGACCAGCCACACUGGGACUGAGACACAGCCCAGACUCCUACGGGAGGCAGCAGUGGGGAAUUUUGGACAAUGGGCGCAAGCCUGAUCCAGCAAUGCCGCGUGCAGGAAGAAGGCCUUCGGGUUGUAAACUGCUUUUGUACGGAGCGAAAAGGCUCUCUCUAAUACAGGGGGCUCAUGACGGUACCGUAAGAAUAAGCACCGGCUAACUACGUGCCAGCCGCCGCCGUAACAC
rnacentral:rRNA from 1 species